GGACAGAAAGACCCUAUGAAGCUUUACUGUAGCCUGGCAUUGGGUUCGGGCUUUAACUGCGCAGUAUAGGUGGGAGACUUUGAUCCAUUCCUUGUGGGGAAUGGGGAGUCACCAGUGAGAUACCACUCUGUUAAAGCUAGAAUUCUAACCUGCAUCCGUUAUCCGGAGUGGGAACAUUGUCAGGUGGGCAGUUUGACUGGGGCGGUCGCCUCCCAAAUGGUAACGGAGGCGCGCAAUGGUUCUCUCAGGCUGGUUGGAAAUCAGCCGUCGAGUGUAAAGGUAUAAGAGAGCUUGACUGUGAGACGUACAUGUCGAACAGGGACGAAAGUCGGCCUUAGUGAUCCGACGGCAGUGAGUGGAAGCGCCGUCGCUCAACGAAUAAAAGUUACUCUAGGGAUAACAGGCUGA
rnacentral:rRNA from 1 species